rnacentral:rRNA from 1 species
CGGAGAGGGAGCCUGAGAACCUUUUACCACAUCCAAGGAAGGCAGCAGGCGCGCAAAUUACCCAAUCCCAACACGGGGAGGUAGUGACAAUAUGUAACAAUAUACGGCCUUAUACGUCGUAUAAUUGGAAUGAGUACAAUUUAAAUCCCUUAACGAGGAACAAUUGGAGGGCAAGUCUGGUGCCAGCAGCCGCGGUAAUUCCAGCUCCAAUAGCGUAUAUUAAAGUUGUUGCAGUUAAAAAGCUCGUAGUUGGACCUUGGACCUGGACAGGCGGUCCGCCUCACGGCGAGUACUGUCUUGCUGGGUCUUUCCUCUUGGUGAUCUGUUGUUUCGGCAGCAGGGAACCAGGACCUUUACUUUGAAAAAAUUAAAGUGUUCAAAGCAGGCUCGACGCCGGAAUAUAUUAGCAUGGAAUAAUAAAAUAGGACGUGCGGUUCUAUUUUGUUGGUUUUUGGAAUCGCCGUAAUGAUUAAUAAGGACAGUCGGGGGCAUUACUACUCACAUGCUAGAGGUGAAAUUCUUGGAUUUUGUGAAAACUAACUUCUGCGAAAGCAUUUGCCAAGGAUGUUUUUCAUUAAUCAACAACGAAGGCUAGGGUAUCGAAAAUGAUUAUAUACCGUUGUAAUUCUUAACAGUAAAUUAUGCCCACUAU